rnacentral:lncRNA from 1 species
CGGAAACUUUCCAGUACAUACGGCACAAUUCAUGCCAGGCCGUGCUGGUGCGUACCGGUCACAAAAAAUUCAUAUGUGCUAAUAUAUAAUAGCAUGCACUAUUUAUUUUCUUUAGCAACAAAAUAUUGCAACUAUUUAAUUUUUAUGUAUUUUUAUCAAAUCUUUUGAAUUUUAUUGAGAAAAUUAUUUACUAAUUUAAAGAAUAGAGGAUUUUAAACUGUGCUAUCAGUAUCAGGCUGUAUUAUGUUGAUAUCUUGUUGGCACGAUACGGCACAAUAGAUAUGGCCUAUGUCGAUCGGCACUUAAAUCCUUGUGUGGAACUAA